GACGAACGCUGGCGGCGUGCUUAACACAUGCAAGUCGAACGGAAAGGCCCUGCUUUUGUGGGGUGCUCGAGUGGCGAACGGGUGAGUAACACGUGAGUAACCUGCCCUUGACUUUGGGAUAACUUCAGGAAACUGGGGCUAAUACCGGAUAGGAGCUCCUGCUGCAUGGUGGGGGUUGGAAAGUUUCGGCGGUUGGGGAUGGACUCGCGGCUUAUCAGCUUGUUGGUGGGGUAGUGGCUUACCAAGGCUUUGACGGGUAGCCGGCCUGAGAGGGUGACCGGCCACAUUGGGACUGAGAUACGGCCCAGACUCCUACGGGAGGCAGCAGUGGGGAAUAUUGCACAAUGGGCGGAAGCCUGAUGCAGCAACGCCGCGUGCGGGAUGACGGCCUUCGGGUUGUAAACCGCUUUCGCCUGUGACGAAGCGUGAGUGACGGUAAUGGGUAAAGAAGCACCGGCUAACUACGUGCCAGCAGCCGCGGUGAUACGUAGGGUGCGAGCGUUGUCCGGAUUUAUUGGGCGUAAAGGGCUCGUAGGUGGUUGAUCGCGUCGGAAGUGUAAUCUUGGGGCUUAACCCUGAGCGUGCUUUCGAUACGGGUUGACUUGAGGAAGGUAGGGGAGAAUGGAAUUCCUGGUGGAGCGGUGGAAUGCGCAGAUAUCAGGAGGAACACCAGUGGCGAAGGCGGUUCUCUGGGCCUUUCCUGACGCUGAGGAGCGAAAGCGUGGGGAGCGAACAGGCUUAGAUACCCUGGUAGUCCACGCUGUAAACGGUGGGUACUAGGUGUGGGGUCCAUUCCACGGGUUCCGUGCCGUAGCUAACGCUUUAAGUACCCCGCCUGGGGAGUACGGCCGCAAGGCUAAAACUCAAAGGAAUUGACGGGGCCCCGCACAAGCGGCGGAGCAUGCGGAUUAAUUCGAUGCAACGCGUAGAACCUUACCUGGGUUUGACAUGGAUCGGGAGUGCUCAGAGAUGGGUGUGCCUCUUUUGGGGUCGGUUCACAGGUGGUGCAUGGCUGUCGUCAGCUCGUGUCGUGAGAUGUUGGGUUAAGUCCCGCAACGAGCGCAACCCUUGUUCACUGUUGCCAGCACGUUAUGGUGGGGACUCAGUGGAGACCGCCGGGGUCAACUCGGAGGAAGGUGGGGAUGACGUCAAGUCAUCAUGCCCCUUAUGUCCAGGGCUUCACGCAUGCUACAAUGGCUGGUACAGAGAGUGGCGAGCCUGUGAGGGUGAGCGAAUCUCGGAAAGCCGGUCUCAGUUCGGAUUGGGGUCUGCAACUCGACCUCAUGAAGUCGGAGUCGCUAGUAAUCGCAGAUCAGCAACGCUGCGGUGAAUACGUUCCCGGGGCUUGUACACACCGCCCGUCAAGUCAUGAAAGUUGGUAACACCCGAAGCCGGUGGCCUAACCGUUGUGGGGGAGCCGUCGAAGGUGGGACUGGUGAUUAGGAAUAAG
rnacentral:rRNA from 1 species